UGACAGUACUCCUACGGGGAGGCAGCAGUGGGGGAAUAUUGGACAAUGGGGGAAACCCUGAUCCAGCCAUGCCGCGUGUGUGAAGAAGGCCUUAUGGUUGUAAAGCACUUUAAGCGAGGAGGAGGCUACUGAGACUAAUACUCUUGGAUAGUGGACGUUACUCGCAGAUAAGCACCGGCUAACUCUGUGCCAGCAGCCGCGGUAAUACAGAGGGUGCGAGCGUUAAUCGGAUUUACUGGGCGUAAAGCGUGCGUAGGCGGCUUUUAAGUCGGAUGUGAAAUCCCCGAGCUUAACUUGGGAAUUGCAUUCGAUACUGGGAAGCUAGAGUAUGGGAGAGGAUGGUAGAAUUCCAGGUGUAGCGGUGAAAUGCGUAGAGAUCUGGAGGAAUACCGAUGGCGAAGGCAGCCAUCUGGCCUAAUACUGACGCUGAGGUACGAAAGCAUGGGGAGCAAACAGGAUUAGAUACCCUGGUAG
rnacentral:rRNA from 1 species